CGCGUAAAUCACCGGAAUGAUAUCGCGUCGCCUUAAUCACCGGUUCCAUAAACAUUUCGGCAUGUUUCGUGUAAUUUUAUACUAUCACGGAACGAAGAUGUAACAGCCAUAAAAUACGUAAAGAAUUAGAUACCAAAUACGACGAUUCCGUGGAAAAUAUAAUUUGGAAAAGGUACGAAAAUCGCCCAAUAUUCCCAAACCCUUUUGAAAUAUAACACGUUGAAAAAAAAAAUCGUCGUUGUGUAUACGAUGUGUACAGUGUGUGAAAAAGAUAUCGAAAAAAAUAUUGUUUCGACGUAGCAAGGAAGCCUGGUAACGAAGAACAAUGAACACCAUGUCUAAUACCAGCAUUCAACCCCGUGAAGAAUGCAGGUUUAAUGCUUGCUUAUAUCUGGAUGAUAGUUAUGUUUGUGGCAGCUCUCGUUUUCGUGAUUGGAUUCCUGUAUCAAUUUAUUUUUUAAGGUAAUGGAAUUAUUCUCGUUUGAAAUAUUCAGUGGUAAAAUUUGUGGUAUUCCCUCAUUUUUUUUCGAAAACGAGAUGAACGAAGGAAGCACGAAAUACGAGAGAUCGUACUUAUUUAAUGAAUUCUCAAAUUUGUAUAUAACAUGUAAUAUACAUAAUAUUAUGUUUUAAUGUACGUUUCUUCUCAUUUUUUCGAUAUAAAGAAUUUAAUCCAAUUUUUUUCAAUUUAUUACAUUUUCGCUUGAUCGAUUAAUUAUUAAUAAUAUUAAACAAUAAUUGUACCAUAAAAUAUUUUAUAUUGUAUUUUAAACAAAUGUAAUCUUUUUGAAUCAAUUUAUUAAAUAUUAUCAUUACUGUU